GGUUUGAAUUGGAAAAAAAAAAAAAAACAAUCAUGUAAACUGUUUACAAACUUUUGGGUAGGUAAAUGUCAGCAUCGCGGGGAUGGCUUUGUUGCAGCUCACACGAGAGCUGUCUUGUUACGUGCAAUUUCUUAAUUGGUUGGUGCAAGGAUAAAAUCCUUCAUUUGAAAACGAUCCACAAUUUUUGGCAUGGAGAAAAAUAUACCCUUCUUUUGUUAGUUGGUAGAUUUGAUCACAGAUAAUUUGAAGCCACGAACCUUUGUUUUUUAAGUAGGAAUACAAAUGCAACGAGGAUUUAAACAUUUUCGAAUCAUUUGGUUAUUCAAUCCAAAUUUCUACACUUACUGAACAAUAUAUAUAUAUAGACAUGUACGUCUUUAUGUAAUAUCAUCCAAAAAAAUUGUCAAUAAUAUUCUUUUGCAAAACUAUAUAUAUAUAUAUAUAUAUAUAUAUAUAUAUAUUGGCUCUAGCAUAGCCAAAUCAAUUAUCAUUAAAAAAAAAAGUCAAAUAAAAAGUCAAUUCACAACCAUAUUCUAACAUGUAGAAUUUUCAUUAGUGAAGUGUGAACGGUAAAAGAUAUGAAGUGUCACUCUCUCGUUGGCUGUUAUUAAAAAGUUCUUUUGAAGUCUCUGCCACAUUUUUAUGAUUACGGAACUCUUUACCAGAGAGAGAGAUUUGAGGGUCUAAAUCAAACUCUGCCUUUUCCCACGUCAGCUUCUACGGGUCCCUUAUUCACCUGCACACUUUCGUCAGAUCAUAGAUUUUACAAACUACAGUAAUUGCAUGCACUAUAUUAAGUUAGAAGCGUCCUAAAUCUAAGAAGGCUUACCAAAAAAAGAAUUUUCGUUUCUUUCAAAGACAGUUUGUGUGCGUCUGUGUGUAUGUGAUAUUUUAGGAUGAUCAUAUUUUACAAGCUGUUUCUUUAGUUUGAGCCUUGUCUUUCUCUUACUCUAGAUUAUUGGUUUAAAACAGAUAAACAAAAUCAAACUUUAAUCUAGCAUUAGAUUGGUUUGAUAUGCUUUCAGAAUUUGAUCAGUUCUGAGUAAAUCUAUUGAAAUAUGUCAGAUUUUAAAUCUAUUGAAGCUGUCUUGUGUAACCUCUGAAGUUUUGAAGAUAGAGACGAGAUCAUUCUUCCUUUUCAGCAAUAAUAGGUCAUAUAAACUGACAAAAUACAGUAGCAUUCGAGAAGAUCACAACUUUUAAGUUUUCAACAACAAAAACUAAAAUCUGAAGUUUUCAAAAUUUUCUUUUGAAAUAAGGUAUCAAGUGUCAGCAAAUUCAUCUUCUGAAUCUCCCGCCUCUACCACCACCACGGCCACCUCUUCUUCCACCACCGCCACCACGACCACCACCGCCAUGUCCAUUGCCAUUAGCUCCAGGACUCUUCAUGUUUUCAGGCAAUGGAAGGAUGUGAUCAACACACUUCCUGAAGCUGAAAUCGUCUGCAGUGUCGUCUUCCCUAACCAGAAAGAAGCAUCGGCUUUUCCACAUUGGGUGGGUUCUGACUUGGAAGGUUUUGAUUCCUCCUCCAAUCUUCUUUUCAGGCUCAGAGUGGCCCUUCUUGAUCAGAUCUAGCAACACCAUGUGCUCAUACUGAAAUGUACAAUCGAGAACCAAGUUCAGUGCAACGAGUUAGUUGGAAGCUCGAAAGAAACUGCAACAACUGUCAUAUAUUAUGAUGACUAUUAUGAUGACUAUGCAAUGUUUUAUCUUUUAUGCUUGUGCCCUCAAAAUUUGAUAUAGUUUCAUUCUUCCAACCACUAAAUGACAUCAAGACCUGAGAAAAGUUUCUAAUUCAAACACAAUCCACAAUCAUAUAAUCAAUAAGAACACGAUACAUUUGCCAAGAACUUUUGAGUAGUAAACUAGUAAUAGGGAACCCAAUUCACAAUCUGUUCCGACUUAACAAUGAAAGAUAAUUUCGUACAUAUUCCUCGAUUAAUCCUCUCCCUAAACACAUUGCAUAAUCAAAUAUCUAC
rnacentral:lncRNA from 1 species